rnacentral:rRNA from 1 species
UACGUAGGGGGCAAGCGUUGUCCGGAUUUAUUGGGCGUAAAGAGCGUGUAGGCGGCUUUACAGGUCCGUUGUGAAAACUCGAGGCUCAACCUCGAGACGCCGGUGGAAACCUAAGCUAGAGUCCGGAAAGAGGAGAGUGGAAUUCCGUGGUGUAGGCGGUGAAAUGCGCAGAUAUCAGGAGGAACACCCGUGGCGAAAGCGGCUCUCUGGGACGGUACUGACGCUGAGACGCGAAAGCGUGGGGAGC